rnacentral:rRNA from 1 species
UACGGGGGGGCAGGCGUUGUUCGGAAUUACUGGGCGUAAAGGGCUCGUAGGUGGCCAACUAAGUCAGACGUGAAAUCCCUCAGCUUAACUGGGGAACUGCGUCUGAUACUGGAUGGCUUGAGUUUGGGAGAGGGAUGCGGAAUUCCAGGUGUAGCGGUGAAAUGCGUAGAUAUCUGGAGGAACACCGGUGGCGAAGGCGGCAUCCUGGACCAACACUGACACUGAGGAGCGAAAGCCAGGGGAGCAAACGGG